CGCUAAUCAGAGGGGGAAGAGACAUACAUAGAGAGCGGGAGGAAGAGAUGGGGGAAGAGAAGAGACACCAGAUGAUGCAGAACUUGUUCGGUGAUCAGUCUGAGGAAGAAGAAGAGAUCGAUUCUGAGCAUGAAUCGAAUCCCCACCCUAAUUACGCCUCUGAUGAAGCUGAAGGAGGUCUGAGGAAUGAGGGUGAAGAUGAAGGUGAAGGUGAAGAUGAAGUGGAAGGGCACGGUAAUAUAGAAGUGGAGAGUGAAGAUGAAAUGCAUGAGGUAGAACCUGAUCCAGGAGAAAGUGAGGGUGAAAGAGAACCAAGUUCUGAAGAAGUAGAUGUUGUUGAUGAGAGGGAAGUGAGUGAAGCUAAAGAUGCGGAUAGCGAAGAGAAAGAAGACUAUGGUCACAGAUUGGCAACAAGCAGGAGACGUGAUAUAAUUGAAAGUGGAUCAGAGAGAUCUGAGGAACAACAUUAUGCUGACCACGAGGAUGAGGAGGUUGACCAGGCCAGAAGCCCAAGUAAAUCACCUGAUGGGGAGAAGGAUCACAAUCCCAUUUCACAGUCAGCUGCUGAGAUUCGUGAUGUGUUUGGUGAUUCUGAUGAUGAGGAAGAGGCAGGAUAUGUGGUUAGGAAUGAAAUUGAGCACGAUUCACAUAGGUCUCCAAUGGAAGAGGAAGGUAGCUAUGAAAAGAAUUUAAGACCAGAGGAUAUGCUGAUGGACGAAGAUGCUCGAUAUGAAUCGGAAGAGGACAUUGAGGUUAAAUCUAAAGAGAAACCAGUUGGCCCCCCAUUAGAGAUAGAGAUUCCAUUUCGGCAGCCUCCAGCUGAUCCGACCAAGAUGAAUAUGAUCAAGGUUUCCAAUAUAAUGGGCAUUGACCCAAAUCCAUUUGAUCCUAAGACAUAUGUGGAAGAGAAAACAUUUGUGACAGAUGAAUCUGGAGCCAAAACACGUAUACGCUUGGAAAAUAAUAUUGUCCGGUGGCGGACUGUUAGAAAUCCUGAUGGCAGUAAAUCUGUUGAAAGCAAUGCUCGGUUUGUGAGAUGGUCAGAUGGCAGUUUACAGUUAUUAAUUGGGAAUGAAGUUCUUGAUAUAUCUGUGCAAGAUGAUCAGCAUGACCAAACACAUCUUUUUCUUAGACAUAACAAGGUGACAUCCCAUGUCUGACAUGUUACAUAUGUGAUUCAAGCAUAUGAUGUAUUCAACUUUUUUAGUCUUCUUUUUCUUUUCUCUUCUUGCCCUCUCAAUUUAUAUUGUGGUGGCUGCUAAGAUUUUGUUUUGUGCCAGGCUCAUUAAGAUGUUUAACAGCCUAUCAAGAUGCAUAACUUUGUUCUUCCUUAACAUCUACCUUUUGAUGUCAUUGAUUUCCUUCAGUCUAAAUGAGUUGUCAAAACUUCUAAAUUUUCUCAUAGAUAAGUUAGGUUGAUUUCUUACUCCUUUGACAUAAUUUGAUGGUCCAUUGACCCAUCAAUUUGCUGUUGGAUUUUUCUUUGCAAGCGUAAUUUUUAUAUGUAUGUGAUGAUUGAAAAGGAUUGGGGAAUGGCUGCAAGUGAAAAACCUUGAUCUUGGGACUAUAUUGUGUGGAAAUUCUGUGUGCAAUGUGAUUGAGAAAUAAUCUGGGGAUUUGAAAUUAUUUUCUGAGAAAGGAAUUUGUAAGUUUAUUUGCAUUGUCACUGUAUUCUUUUCUCCAAUUGCUUAUGGAACCUUUAUAGUCCAGAGUUGCAAUGAAUCUUGGAAACUAGGGUUUUCUUGAGCUGGAUGCUGGGCAACAGUUAUUUAGUUAAUUAUAUAGAAUCCCUUAUGUGUUAAUUGUGAAACUGGACUUUGAGAUGCUGUGAAGGUCCUAUGUAACACGCUCUUGUAUUUAUGUACCAAACUCAGAAUAAGUGCUGUUGAAUUUGGGUCUGUUUUUAUGAACCGAUCUUGAGCUAGAAACUCCUGGAUUUGGGCACCACAUUUUUGAAACUUCAUGUCCUAUGAAGUACUUAAAGGUAGCUUUUGCCUUAUUGGGAAAGUAGAUGAAUCUCUUUCUUUUUCUAUUAAAAUAUAGAAGCAGACUUCUUUUUGACAGUAUAUAUGCAUAUGCAGAAAACAAUAGUCCUUUUCUUUUUCUUUCCUUGACAUGUUUCAGUGCUAUUGGUUCCAUUCUCUUCUUUCUCUUCCUUUUGACCUUACUUCAAGCUCCUUUAUGCUUGGCCACACCAACAAGGGGAAUCUAGUUUCCUUCCCUUUGAAGUGCAUUUAUUAGAUCAGCUCCCCAAGUCUUCUCAUUGAGAGACCAUUUUAAAUCUUUUUUCAUUGGUAAACAAUGUCAAAUCUUUGCUUCUGCUUUCAGUCACUUCUUCAAUCACAAGGAAGAAUACGGAGGAAGAUGCGGUUUAUGCCAUCAUCUUUGACAUCAAAUUCUCACAGGCUGUUGACGGCUCUUGUUGACUCACGGCAUAGAAAGGUUUAUAAAGUUAAGAACUGCAUCACCGACAUUGAUCCUGAGAGAGAAAAAGAGGAAAAAGAAAGGGCUGAAAGUCAAACAAUUAGAGCCAAUGUACUUCUUAAUCGGAAGAGAGAAAAGGUUAGCCGAAAGUAUACACAAACUGUAGAGCGGAGGCGUCAGCUCUCGCCUGGGUUCUUGGAGGGUGCUCUUGAUGAGGAUGAUGAACCGGAUUAUUUUGACUCUCGUCGUUCUCGCCGCCGCUUUGAAGAAGAUCUGGAAGUGGAAGCUCGAGCAGAGAAACGCAUAAUGAAUGCUAAGAAGGUCUUGUAACCUGAAGUCAUUGUGUAAUUACCUUUUAUUCGGGUGAAAAUUUACCCAUUUUAAUAUUUUCACUAAUAAUAACAGGGACACACAGAUAUUCUACGCAAGUCAUCUUUGCCCACUGUGAAAUCAUCAAAGCGCCCUGUGAAUUUCUGUGACAGUGAGAGAGAAGAGUCUGAGUAUGAAAGUGAUGGGGAGGAAUUUGGAAGGUCUCCUCGCCGGAAAAGGGUUGAGGAGCCAGAGCAGGAAUAUGAAGAAGAAGAAGAAGAAGAAGUUGCAGAAAUAAAAGAAGAUGGCAAGGAUGUGAAAGAUUCUAUUUCUUCUAAAGAUGUGAAAAGUCAGGCUGCCAUUGAGAAUGGACAGAAAAGGAAGAGACCUGGACAUACCGAAGAAAAUUCAAAUUCAGUCAAAGAGGAAAAUGGUGUUGGAACAAAGUUGGAUAUUGAUAAUUCAACAGUGAGUAUUGGAUUUCGACAAAAUGGGAGCAGACGAAAAAACAAGCCCAGGAGGGCUGCUGAAGCUGUUGUUGAGUGCAAGUGAACUUCAUUUUUGUUGUUUUAAAGGUUUCAUGUCUUCUUUCCUGUCAUGGGAUAAUAUAAAUCUUAAUUAUCGAAGUGGAGCUUAUUGUGUAGGUUUGGCUAGAUGUUUCUUUUGUUAUAUGAUAUUUGUUUUUAUAUUUGUUGAUUCCAUUUCUCUGGAGCGGAUAAUUUCGAUUCGGAGGCUAUAACAUUGAUUUUACUUCAUAUAAUUGUGCAGAAACCUUCCACCAUCGGAAAUUAUUUGCUGGUCUUCUGCUAUUUGCAUUUAGUCAUAAGUAAAGAAAAAAUUUAUUUUCCCUUUGCAAGAGAAUUAUGCUUGCUAGCUACAUCUAUUUAUUGCUGGCAUUACAUGGCUAACUAGUGACUAGCCUUAGGUUCUUGUUAUUUGUCUGGUAUAAGUACAAUACAAACUGCACUUAGGAUGAUAGUGCAACCAUUUUGUAGUUUAAUCAGCUUUCAUUAGCUUUUUCAUUGUUUGAAAUGUAGCUAGUUGCUCUGAUCAAUUAUAAAUCAGAGGCUUCAUGAGGUCUAUCGACACUGAAUUACUUUUUAACACUGUUCACAGAGGGUUAAGACUCUGAAGAAAUGAAUGUGAAGACUUGGUGGUACAGAAGAGUAAUUUUGCAAGUAACAAUGAUGAUUACAGAAGCUUGUAAUGAAGGUGAGCUUGUGCAACGUAGUGGGUGGAAGGAACUACUAGAACUACAAUUGUAGAUGAAACUGCAAUUGAUACAGACAAUCUCAUCAUCAAAAGAACUACUAGAACUAGACUGAUUUGAUAAUCUAUACUGGGUUUAAAUUUGAGAACCACCAAUGGCAUUUGAAGGGAUUUACUAGGGUUAUCCUUCCAAGCUUGUUUGUGUCAGGUAGCUUGUCUUCUAAAAUGGUUAAUCACUUGCACUGGGGACCAUUAAUUGGCUUAUUGUGAAACCGAUAGAAGCUACAUAAUGUUGUAAGGAC
rnacentral:misc_RNA from 1 species